AUGUUUAUUUAAUUUCGGAAUUCAGGUGUAAAAUUAUUUCUUAGCUUUUUGACAUUUUGCGGUGUUUGUUGACGUUUCAGCAUGUGUUUGCUUAAGCGCUAAAAGCCAAUUAAAAUUCAGCCCUCGCUUAUAGACCAAAACUGUUUCCAAAGCUCAGGAAGGAGAUGGACGAAGUUGUGUAAACUUGGAAUAUUUUAUGGAAUGAGGAACAUGCUCGAAGUGACAAUGAUUAGCGUGUUAAAUGCGACAGCUGCUAAUUUGUGGGUAGAAAAUAAAUUAGUUAAGGCACAAAAUGUUUAAAAAAAAAUGAAAAACUAUUUGACAGUUUAGAAACAAUGUAAUACAAAUUAGUCUCAAUAAAAUAUUUCUUUAGAAGUUCAAUGGAGAGUUUGCGAGUGCCAGCGUCUAGUUUAGAUCCAAAGCAUAAUCUAUAUCGUUUGCAAAAGAUCUAUCUUAUUGCCAUCGUGCUGGUAAUGAUAGGCAUCUUACAACUGGUGAUGCUGAAGGCGAUGCACAUUAAAUUAAUUGACUCGGUGCCCGUGCCGAAUUUCAUGUAUAUGGUCAUUGCAUUGGUCUGCAUUGUGCUGAUGGUAUACACCGAACUUUUCAACGAACAUCCCGUCAACUGGACACUUGGAAUUGUCGCUGUGGAGUGCGUAACAUUGUGCACAAUCUCUUCGAAAUGGAAUCAUUUGCCAGUGUUAUAUGCAAGCAUUGUCUUGGGUGUUGUUCUAAUCGUUAACAUUAUGCUGUAUAUGUUGGGUGCAUGUCUGCCAUUGAUCUUGUUACCUGGAUAUUAUGGUAUACUGUUUAUAACGAUUGUGUUUAUCAUCAUGUACAUAUUCCUCUGCAUAAUUGUAUUCAUCUUAUCCAUUCGCAAUCUUAUGGUAAUUAUUGAUUUAUGGACACUUGUGUAUAUGCUUCCACUCACCGUCUAUGCGUCCACAUUGAUACAUCAUCGUCGUUUACCUAAUAUGCCAUCUGACGAAUACAUUCUAUCAGCCACGGUUCUGGCGACUUUCUUUUUAUUUAUGAUCUAUCUGGUUACGUCGAGUACCACUUAUAUUUGUCGAAUGGUAGGUUGUUCCUUAUUUGAGAAGUAUCAAAAGCGGAGAGCACAUUAAAUAUCAUUACCAACAUUUUUGGCUGCGAUGUGGAUUAAGCCAAUUUCACAGAAUUCUUGUCAGUUUUGAGUAGCGCUUUAAGAUAACCACUCAAAAUGGAAUCCUUCGCAACGGUAUCGCAAACAAUUCACAAAUGGAAUUUAUGAAAUUAACAUAACUUCAGGCAAUUUAGAAAUAGACAUUUCUAUUUGAAUUUUACGCUUUAAGUGGGCAGUGAAGUGAGCAAAAAUAUUCCACCAAAAAGGAUAACAAAAAUGAACUCGCCUGCAAAUUCUAGAAAUUCGUUGAUAAAAAAAAGACAAAAAACUUGAAACCCACCCAAAAAAAGAAAGACGAGCAAACAAAAGUUGUCCCCAUAAUGUAGCCGCAUAAUCCCGGCGAAAACGGAAACGGAAAUGGAAACGAACCAGAAUUUCGUCCCAGUCGUCAGCCCAGACAUGGGGAAAAUCAGCAUGCGUCAGCAAAUGUUUUGUUUUGGCUACUAAACACCCCUUUUAACUGGGUGUAAAAUAGAAAAAUUACGUUGCUGCACGUAAUAAAGCACCAGUUAACUGCAUGUAUUAAAAAGCUUAAAUUCUUAUAUGCAUUUAAUAAAUGUGGAUCUUUGGUAA